CUUUUUUUUUUUUUUUUUUUUUUUUGUCUUUUUAGGGCCACACUUGCAGCACAUGGCAUUUCCCAGGCUAGGGGUCCAAUCCAAGCUGCCGCCACCAGCCUAUGCCACAGCCACAGCAAUGCGAGAUCCAAGCUGUAUUUGCGACCUACACCACAGCUCUCGGCAAUGCCAGAUCCUAAACCCACUGAGCAAGACCAGGGAUUGAACCCACAUCCUCAUGGAUCCUAGUCAAGUUCAUUAACCCCUGAGCCACGACGGGAACUCCGACCCUACCUUCUUUUGACCCAAGGAGAACUUUGCCUUCUGCUGCUACUGAUAAACGCCCUGAUGUUCAUCCCUUCAUCCUGAAUCCUAAUCAGCAGAAAGAAAAAUGAAUAUGGAAGAUGAAGUCACAGAUACUGGCUUUCAAUCUUUGGUUUAUAAUUUCUUAGCUCGGUGGCCUAGAACUAAUCAAUUAACUUGUCUGAGUUAAAAUUUCCUCAAAGGAAACUGGAAAUGAUAAUAAUCUACUUUACGGAUUUAUGUUUGGGGCAUCCAGGAAUCACAGACCCUUAGUCCUGUGUAUGGAACAUGUUAGGUGCUAUAUUUAAAUACCCCAGGGCAUCUCUCCCAGAAUUCAGCAGGCAUCAAGACAUCAAGACCCUAACAAGAGUCUGAAAUUGUGAAACAUAAGGUCUGAACUGGUUUAGCCUGGUCCACAUGGCAGCAGGAGUCUAGGGGCCCUGGCAUCAGGAGAGGAUGUCAGAUGGGCCUUUCUGGUGGUGGAGCUGGGAUUGGACUGCAGGAAAAACCCCGCCCUUGGCCAGGGGUUCCUACUGAUGAACAAGCAGGUGGGCACCUCUCAGAAUGAAGAACUGGUGGCAGUAAGAAGCGUAACUGGGAUAGUCUGUUAUCUACAGAUCUCUUUGUAACCAGAGGGCCUCUCCAGCUGUCUCUGUGCACUCUGCAUUAUUUAUGGCCCAUCCAGGGCUGGCAUCCUGCUAUUUGUCUGCUUUCUGAGAUGGGCAGCAGGAAAGGGGAUCACUGACUCAGCAAUUUUGGGCUAGGCUGAAGGAGAGGACAAGGGAGAAAGGGAAGCCGGAGAAGAAUGUAGAAAAAGAGGACAACCAGGGAGUUCCUAUCGUGGUGCAGUGGUUAAUGAAUCCGACUAGGAACCAUGAGGUUGUGGGUUCGGUCCCUGGCCUUGCUCAUGGGUUAAGGAUCUGGUGUUGCCGUGAGCCCAGACGCGGCUCAAGAUCCCGCGUUGCUAUGGCUCUGGCAUAGGCCAGUGGCUACAGAUCCGACUGGACCACCAGCCUGGGGAACCUCCAUAUGCUGCAGGUGCAGCCCUAGAAAAGGCGAUAAGGACAAAAGAAAAAAAAAUAAGUCCCAGGCUUCCCUGGGGAUGGCUUGAGGGUACGCUGAAACUCCCUGGUCUCAAAACUCUCUGUGCAAGAGUUUUGGAUAAAAAGUUGAUGGAUUACUAAUUUAUAGCUUAUUCUCAAUUGCAACACAAAUCUUUACUCUGUCUAGGAAUUAAUGAUCCCAUCUCAUGUCCUCGGACCUGAACAUGCCUUGGUGGUCAAAGACUAAGGCUUAGCCCUCUUCUGGGGCUCUAGGAAGCUGCCAUUCCUCAUUUGUCCUCCUGACUCCACUGGAGACAUUCUCCUGGAGUUGUUGGGGUUGGGUGGGGUAGAGCUUCCUACUCCCUGACCCCCACAAGCCUGCAAAAUACUCUGUACACAAUGCUUAACAUGUACCCAGCACAGAAGGGCCCCUCUCUAGCUUUCUUUUGGGACCCCCAAUUCUCCCUGCUUCACUGUACAUGUCAUGGUCUCUAUCCCUCCUUUUAGCCUCCUUGUGGCAAGAGGAUUGUAGACUUGGAUGAUAACAGGCCCAAGUAAGUAUCUCUGGAUGCUGGCCUAGGGGGUGGAUGCCUUGAAGGUUGAGAGUCAGAAGCAUCCCUGGGAAAAAGAGGUUUGGGUACCACAUGAGAAUUCAGAAGAGUGGAGCCACUCAUGGUCCUUGGGCACUGAUUGGGUCAUGGGCUCUAUGGCAACUGCUUUCAUGCAUUGUUAAUCCUUUCAACAACUCUCUGAGGCAGGUGUCAGCAAUCCCCUCCCUGGACCCAACUUCCAAGUGUGACAUCAUCAGCUAUUUAUCCCCAGGCAAGAGGGGUGUGGUGAGAAAACCCAGGUUCCAUUUCCCUUAGACUAUCAUGCUUCCAGCUCCCUUUUCAUGGCUGUGUUUUUGAACUCCCCAGGCAUGGACCAGUCUCUGCCAUGUAGAAGAUGCUUAGAAAAUGUUCACAGAAUGGAUGAUGAAGGAAUGCAUGAUGGUCACACCAAUACCUAUAGGACUGAGCCCCGGACAGGAAGAGUAAGAGGGUCUCAGUGCUGGGGUGACUUGACUUUCAUUGCCCUUGGGAAGGGGGCAGUAUUGAUGAAGGAAAAGGAAGGUCCCAUGUGCCCGCUUCCUGCCCCCCACUUCCUGGCAGACCAUCCACCUGGAGUGACUUGGGAAUGGUUAAAUGUAUCAGCUUCUCCUCACCUAUGUUCUGCACCUCAGCCUCCUGCCAGCUCUCUUGCCAGGACACCAAGGGUGCUUGCAUGAGGCAGAGCUGUGUCCUAAAGCUGAAGGCUUGGACUUCCCUGCAAAGUUAUAAGACGACCGUUUCUCCUUUUCCGGUAUUUGCAGUUGAAACGGAAAAUCUACUCCUGGCUCCAUGCCAGUCUCCUGUCUUUUGCUGGUACGCUCGUAGUCUCACCUUUAAAUUGAAAGAUCUUCCUUCCCUCUCUCUCUCUCUUCUUUAAUACAGAAUUUACCAAUAAGAGGAAUUCAGUCAAAAGACGUCUGGCGUGAAGCAAUUGCUGUUUGCGUAGAUGAUGGGACACUUAACAUAAUGCAGGCAGAAAAUUAGCCUGUAAUC
rnacentral:lncRNA from 1 species